UACGUAGGGCGCAAGCGUUUGUCCGGAUUUAUUGGGCGUAAAGAGCUCGUAGGCGGUUUGUCGCGUCUUCCGUGAAAACUGGGGGCUUAACUUCCAGCUUGCGGUGGAUACGGGCUGACUGGAGUGCGGCAGGGGAGACUGGAAUUCCUGGUGUAGCGGUGAAAUGCGCAGAUAUCAGGAGGAACACCGGUGGCGAAGGCGGGUCUCUGGGCCGUUACUGACGCUGAGGAGCGAAAGCGUGGGGAGCGAACAGG
rnacentral:rRNA from 1 species